rnacentral:rRNA from 1 species
CCUACGGGUGGCAGCAGUGGGGAAUAUUGCACAAUGGGCGAAAGCCUGACGCAGCGACGCCGCGUGAGGGAUGAAGGUAUUCGGAUCGUAAACCUCUGUCAGCAGGGAAGAACGGUCACUGUGCUAAUCAGCAGUGAAUUGCCGGUACCUGCAAAGGAAGCACCGGCUAACUCCGUGCCAGCAGCCGCGGUGAUACGGAUGGUGCGAGCGUUAAUCGGAUUUACUGGGCGUAAAGCGCGCGUAGGCGGUAGGUCAAGUCAAGGGUGAAAUCCCCGCGCUCAACGUGGGAAGUGCCUUUGAAACUGGCAAGCUGGAGUGUGGGAGAGGCGAGUGGAAUUCCAGGUGUAGGAGUGAAAUCCGUAGAUAUCUGGAGGAACAUCAGUGGCGAAGGCGACUAUCUGGAACAUAACUGACGCUGAGGAGCGAAAGCGUGGGGAGCAAACAGGAUUAGAUACCCUUGUAGUC